rnacentral:rRNA from 1 species
AUUGAACGCUGGCGGCAGGCCUAACACAUGCAAGUCGAGCGAGCGGCGGACGGGUGAGUAAUGUCUGGGAAUCUGACUGAUGGAGGGGGAUAACUACUGGAAACGGUAGCUAAUACCGCCUACCAUCAGCUGUGCCCAGAUGGGAUUAGCUAGUAGGUGGGGUAAAGGCUCACCUAGGCGACGAUCCCUAGCUGGUCUGAGAGGAUGACCAGACACACUGGAACUGAGACACGGGCCAGACUCCUACGGGAGGCAGCAGUGGGGAAUAUUGCACAAUGGGCGCAAGCCUGAUGCAGCCAUGCCGCGUGUGUGAAGAAGGCCUUCGGGUUGUAAAGCACUUUCAGCUGGGAGGCGUUACUCGCAGAAGAAGCACCGGCUAACUCCGUGCCAGCAGCCGCGGUAAUAC